rnacentral:tmRNA from 1 species
GGGGCUGUAUUUGGUUUCGACAGGAAUAUUGAAUACUAAGCUGCAAGUCGGAGGAACACGUUACGAACGAAGAAAAAUAAAUGCAAACAAUUUUAAAAACACACUUGCUUCACUAUUCAGAGUUAAUAGUGCAGCCUUAGCUUAAUUAAUAAAAGAGGUGUACUUUCUAUUAUCUUUUCCUACGUAGAUUUUAGAAGGUUCGAUUUUAGUAGGAUAUGUUAUUAUUUAGCUUAGAAGUAAUAAUGAAUAUUUAUAAGCUUACUAAUUUAUUUGUUGUUAGUUACUUAUUAAAUUAGGACAUACUAUAACUAACUAAACUUGUAGAUGCUUUUUUGGAUAUAUUUUUGGACAGGAGUUCGAUUCUCCUCAGCUCCACCA